UAAUAUUAUUUAAACAAUAUUUUUCUAAUGUUAUAAAAAAUUAAGCUGAUAAAUUAUAAAGUAUUUUAACUUAGGUUUAACCAACCAAAUAACAACAAUAACACAAAAAGAGGUCAUGUCUACUUUUUAUUCUAGUGUUAAAAACACAAAAAUACAAAAAAAAAAUUGAAAGAAUUUUUACGGCGCUUGUCUGUUUUUGUUUGCUUGCUAGAGCUCUAGAGCUGUUUUCGGUAUAAAACACCAACCACUAGUACUAGAGCACAAAAAUGUAUAACCUCAAAAAAUAAUCUACAGCAAAUUGCUGAUAAACAGGGCCAAAGAAGGGGUGGUGGGUUGCGGUGUGAGAGAGAGACUAUAUGUUGAUGCAAAAAUUACCAAUGAAAAUGUAUAAAAAAAAAAAAACAAAAUAUGUUUGCACUAAUUUUCCUAGUUUUAUUAAACUAUUUUUUUUUUAAUAAUUUUUGCCAUAUUGAGUAAUUGAAACGGUACUUUUAUAUUUAUUAAUGCUUAUAUGUAUUUGCUUAUAAAUUUUUUGUGGUAGUUUUUUUUCUACGAAAAUUAAACAUAACAAACCAUAAAACAAAUGUUGAGGUUAUGUUCAAGCUAAUAAUGAAAACUAAUAUUCUUUUAAA